rnacentral:rRNA from 1 species
CCUACGGGUGGCAGCAGUGGGGAAUAUUGCACAAUGGGGGAAACCCUGAUGCAGCGACGCCGCGUGAAGGAAGAAGUAUUUCGGUAUGUAAACUUCUAUCAGCAGGGAAGCAAAUGACGGUACCUGACUACGAAGCCCCGGCUAACUACGUGCCAGCAGCCGCGGUACUACGUAGGGGGCCAGCGUUAUCCGGAUUUACUGGGUGUAAAGGGAGCGUAGGCGGUUUAGCAAGUCAGAAGUGAAAGCCCGGGGCUCAACUCCGGGACUGCUUUUGAAACUGUUGAACUAGAGUGCAGGAGAGGUAAGUGGAAUGCCUAGUGUAGCGGUGAAAUGCGUAGAUAUCAGGAGGAACACCGGUGGCGAAGGCGGCCUGCUGGACUGCAACUGACGUUGAGGCCCGAAAGCGUGGGGAGCAAACAGGAUUAGAUACCCGAGUAGUC